GUGCUCGCUUUGGCAGCACAUAUAAUAAAAUUGGAAUGAUACAGAGAAGAUUAGCAUGGCACCUGCGCAUGGAUGACACGCAAAUUCACAAAGCGUUCCAUAUUUUA